rnacentral:rRNA from 1 species
UACAGAGGGUGCGAGCGUUAAUCGGAAUUACUGGGCGUAAAGCGCACGUAGUCGGCUUUGCAAGUCGGGUGUGAAAUCCCCGGGCUCAACCUGGGAACUGCAUCCGAGACUGCAUUGCUAGAGUAUGGGAGAGGGAAGCGGAAUUUCUGGUGUAGCAGUGAAAUGCGUAGAUAUCGAGAGGAACACCUGCGGCGAAGGCGGGUUGCUGGGCUGAUACUGACGCUGAGGCGCGAAAGCGUGGGGAGCGAACAGG